CUCUCGUUAGGAAAGUCAGACAAGCUCUCACGCAAUGCUCAGAGGUGCCUCAGGAGCCCUGCAGUGCGAUACAUUUCAAUUAGGGGUCUCUGCACUUGGGCUGCUGAGCUGGAAGUAUUAUUGCAAAGGGACUUGAAUCUUGCAUUAAAUAUACUCGCAACAUCACAGCACAUAUGUUCAGGGUGGGAAUCUCUGUUGAGAUCUGGUCCCUUUGGACUGCAAAGGGGGAACCGCGGCCAGUGGGAGCUUGGGGGGGGCGUGUGUGGUGCCUGUGGGUGACAGCAGCAUGUGGAGCCUCCUGGCCCCCCUGUCUAGGACCCAAACCUACUGGCUGCUUCCAGAGCACAGCACGGAGCUAGGACAGGCAGGAAACCUGCCUUAGCCCCAUUGCGCUGCUGACCAGAAGCCGUCCGAGGGGAACUUUGGGCCUGAAGGGAGCUGCUGUGACUUGUCUUGUGCUUUCAGGACUCCACAGAGAAAAUCCAAGACUGUGCUAUAAACUUGGACAACAGUAAAGUACCACGGUAUUCUCCCUGCUGCAGCCCCGCUUUAUGGCCCAGUUGAUCAAAGUCUUCUGAGAUGCUACAACAGCAAGAAUAACCCCCUGCUCAGCACUGAAAUUAACACACUGCUAGUGCAAAGAGAUGUGCGACAGUCUGGCUCAGGAAGGCAGAUGGACCUGGAUACUCAGCAAGAGUCCCCUCUGCUCAGCUGUCCUGGGAAGGAAAUAACCAAGGAUAUUGAACCAACAGUCAGAGCUACGUCUUCAGCUAAACUUAACAUUGAAAAGUUGUGUUUGAAGGGAAAAGAUCAAUUUGUGUAGGUCCCCAAAUGCACCUUCUUUGAGGUCACCUGCUCCCACUUACCCAAUCCAACACUCCAGCUGUUCUCAGGGGAAGACACAUUCAAACCCAGAAAUUAACGGUGAAAUCUGUCUUUUGCAGAACAAGUUUAAUUGGAGGUAGCAGCUCUCCGCCAGCUCCUGGGGUGGCCAUCUUGCUUGGAAAUAAAAGCCACAUGCCCCCACAAUUUUAUUUUGCAGAAUUCUGGAUGAGAAUUUUCACCCUCUUGUUCCUCCAAUUUCAAGGAAAUGGCAGUUUGCACACUCAAAACCAAACUUCUGGGAUAUUUUUGAGGCAAAAGCCUUUAUUUUCUUGGAAAACAGGCCAAUAGUCACCAUGUUCACUUGGAAAGAGGCCCUGCUUUGCUUGAAAAGCAGCCCAAUUUCAAUGGAAAAUUGGAAUAUGAGCCCAGAUUUGCUUUUUUGAAAAAACAAACCAAAACCCUGUACACCGGAGCAAAAUUUUCCAUGAAAAUGGCAGGGCUUUGGAGUUUAUAACGAACAGCUAAAAGCCCUUGAAACUGGAGUCGUUUUUCAUUUCUUACAAAUAUUCCAUGCGCUACCAGAACCAGCUCAGUAUCAUAUAUUUCUGUUUCUAAUAAUUAUUUCUAAUAAUUGUUUCUAAUAAUGGCUCAAGAUUCAGGAAAAGAACCUUGACACCCAUAAGACACUGGGGUGGCUUAUGGCAAUACCUGGGUGCUGUUUAAUGAGAACUAACAUUAACUGUCCUCUGUUGGCAAUCGCAUACCAUGAUGAUAGGUGCCUAAGGAAUCUUUAGGAGAACCGCUGUGUGGUAUAAAUUUUUAUCCUUACUUUUUGUAAAGCAUCAGCAGUUUGUUCAGCAUUUUGCUGACAGAUACAGAAACAAACUCCCUGUCCCAAAGAUCUUACAGUCUAGCUAGACAACAUAUAGACCAGGGAGACAGGAGACAUUGGUCAGGGAUAGAUUCAGAAGAUCUCAGCUUCCAGAACUCACACAGAGUUCUUUUGAAAAUCGGGUCCCAGUUGUGGGUGCUGAGCCAUUCUGAAGAGUCUAACCUCGAGGACUGUGUGACAAGGUGGAUGGCUUCCUGGAGGGAGCUGGGCUCAUCCCCACCUACGUGUAGUUAUUCACCUCCUAGCUGAUAGGUGGCCAGUGAUGGUCUGUGGGUCACCUGGUCCUCAGACAACAGGCAGGCAUGCAACUGUUUGAGUCAGGGGCAGACUGCCAGCCAGUCCUGCUGGAGGCUCAGGGCUAAAGGGAAGGACCUGGAGCCCAGAAAAGGGAGUAGCAGGAAAAGGCAGGACAGUGAAGGACUCUGGGAGGUGACAGCAAGAAGUAAAAGUUAUAAGCAGUGCAGUGGUGUGGGCUGGAGGCCCAGUGUAUGUCUACACUGCAAUUAAAAAUCCAUGGCUGGCCUGCACCAGCUGACUUGGGCUCGCAAAGCUCAGGCUAAGGGGCUGGUUAAUUGCAGGGUAGACAUUCAGGCUUGGGCUGGACCCUGGGCUCUAGAGUCCUGCAAGGUGGGUGCACAGGCUGCAGGUGGGUGCCUAACUGCAGUGUAGACAUAGCCUACGGGUCCUGGGAUGGGAACUUCCAGCCAGGGAGGAAGGCCCUCCUUCAACCGGGCUCCCCCAGGGUAAAGAAAUGGUUACCCCGCCUGAGGGGAGAAUGGGCAUAGCUUGAGCUCAGGGAGGACAAAGAAGCAGUGAGCCCAGAAAGGGUAAAUGGGUUAUUGGGGGCUGGAAAAAAAGCCUGAAAUGUACAAUUUGGGAUUUAGUUGGGUCUCAGGUUAACCAGUGAAAUAGCAGGCCCUAGAUUACCAUGUUUAGGGAAGUGUUAUGUUAACAUAAUUUUAGCAUGACCUUUAACCUAAUAUAUUUCUAUUAAAA